rnacentral:snRNA from 1 species
AAAUAUGAGGGUGAUCUGGCUGCGACAUCUGUCACCCCACUGCUCACCGGGGUUGAUUUGGCUGAUGUGGCUGGAUAGGCAGGUGUCCUCUUCCUCCCUCACCGCUCCAUGUGCAUCCCUCCUGAAGCUGCAAGCUCGGUGGAAGAGGAUGACUAUCCCAGAUAGAAAGAGUGUACCAUUCUGCUUCGGUCAAGGAUAUACGAUAGCUGUGCUCCCCUGCUAGAACCUUCAAACAAGCUCAAGGUCCAUCUGUAGGAGAAUGUAAGGUAGUCAAGCUUCCAAGACUCCAGACACAUCCAAGUAAGGUUCUGAAUGUGGCAGUUUGCCAUUCUUU